GACGCUCGCGCACACGACGUGUCCGGUCUGGUCAGCAUUUUGCUUGGACAAUUUCCCCACCACCAUUUUAGCAGAAGGCCACCACAUCAGAGUUGUUAAGACAGAGCCUAUAAACAACAGUGAGACUGACUACCACAUACUGUAAGGCAGUACUGGAUAGCCAUGCAGGCGAAGGAAUCAUAUUUUAUGCAGUGCUGGUGAAAUGGACAAUCAAACAUUGGAUAAUUGUCACGCCCUGACCUUAAGA